GAGGAAUAUUGCGCAAUGGGGGAAACCCUGACGCAGCGACGCCGCGUGGAUGAUGAAGGCCCUUGGGUCGUAAAAUCCUGUCAGAUGGAAAGAAGUGUUAUGGAGCUAAUACCUUCAUAGCUUGACGGUACCAUCAAAGGAAGCACCGGCUAACUCCGUGCCAGCAGCCGCGGUAAUACGGAGGGUGCAAGCGUUGUUCGGAAUUACUGGGCGUAAAGCGCGCGUAGGCGGUUUACUAAGUCAGAUGUGAAAGUCCCCGGCUCAACCGUGGAAGUGCAUUUGAAACUGGCAGACUUGAGUAUUGGAGGGGGUGGUGGAAUUCCCGGUGUAGAGGUGAAAUUCGUAGAUAUCGGGAGGAAUACCGGUGGCGAAGGCGACCACCUGGCCAAAUACUGACGCUGAGGUGCGAAAGCGUGGGGAGCAAAC
rnacentral:rRNA from 1 species